CGUCAGAUAUAAAGGUCACGUGGUUGGCACUCGAGAUGCGGCCAGUCGCGGGCUAUAAAACAGGGUGGCUGCCUAGGACACAUAAAUCUGCCUAAGGCGACUGGUGCAUUUAAAAAAAAUGGCUUCAUACAAGGCUCUGCGUUUGGCCAUCUUUGCUCUUGUUGCGUCGCUAGCCAUAUCGGCUGUGCAAUCGGGAAUAAGUGGCAACGCUGAAGUGGAGGUGUGUCCGCAGCGAUGUGAAGCGUCAUCGAAUGGCUCAUGUACAGACGACUGCAUUUGCGUAUGGACGCCCGGUGCACGAAAUGGUCUCUGCUUGAAGUUUGGCGACGAAGUAAUAUAGGGUCUAAAUUUUGCCAAUAAUGAGCCCUAAAAGAAAGGAUGUCUUCCCAACUCAAUAUAGGAAGACAUUUAGAUUGAAAUUCACAACGCACAAUUCCUUGACCAAUAAAUAUUUUACUACACAUGAAAACCUAAA